GGAUGGUUGGCCGAAUGGUAAGGCAUCAGCAUGCUAAGCUGACGUGGGGGCAAUCCCUGGCAAGUUCGAUUCUUGCACCAUCCGCCA
rnacentral:tRNA from 1 species